rnacentral:lncRNA from 1 species
CACACACUCAUUCAGCUCUCUGUGGGCACUCUUUGGUGUUUCUUUGUGAAUGUACCUUAAGCUGAAGCAUGAAAAACAAUUUACCCAUGAGCACUUUAAGAAAAAAAAACAGGGAAAUAUGAAUGUACUAAAAUACCUCCCACAAUUUUUCAUCAAAUUUCUUUGAUACUGCACAAGAUUCAUCUGUUAAGUUGUGCCGCUAGGCUCCCCAAGUUUGAGACUUCUAUGAUCAUAGGUACUCUAAACAGGUUAGAAUUAGGAUAGGGUUGG